ACAUUGAUAUCAAGCGCUGUGGCGACUCAACUAAACGAGUUUAAUGUCCAUUUUAAUACCACAGAAAUGUCGGUCGUAAUUCAGGGACAGAAAAGUUCUGUAUUUUUGCCUCUCUCAAGUCUCACGGAAGAUUGGCAGCAUUUCAUGAUAGUGUAUUCAUCAACCCAGGACAGUCUCCAAGCAUUUCAUAAUGGUCACAGCAUCCUUGACAACGUCGUUCCGGGCGGUCCUAUCACCACGAACAAUGGUUUCCUGGUUAUUGGCGCAAAACAAAACACCUAUAACUCGACUGCACAACUGAAGUAUCAGUUCAUUGGCGAACUUUCUUUGUUACAAAUAUAUCGACGGACUUUUCCAGCCCGUAUGAUUGCUGCUUUUGCCAGACGAUGCUGGAACAACCCUGGGGACUUUGUUGAAUGGGCCGAUCUGAGACUGCUUGUUGUUGGACAAGUGGAAACUCGAAAUCCGUCUGAGUGUAUGGAAAUUAAAAACGGCGAAUCGUAACUUCGUAAGGCUAGUU